CUCGGCGGAUCAGCCCGCGCCCCGUAAAAAGGGACGGCCCGCCCGAGGACCCCUAAACUCUGUUUUUAGUGGAACUUCUGAGUAAAACAAACAAAUAAAUCAAAACUUUCAACAACGGAUCUCUUGGUUCUGGCAUCGAUGAAGAACGCAGCAAAAUGCGAUAAGUAAUGUGAAUUGCAGAAUUCAGUGAAUCAUCGAAUCUUUGAACGCACAUUGCGCCCGCCAGUAUUCUGGCGGGCAUGCCUGUUCGAGCGUCAUUUCAACCCUCAAGCUCAGCUUGGUGUUGGGACUCGCGGUAACCCGCGUUCCCCAAAUCGAUUGGCGGUCACGUCGAGCU
rnacentral:rRNA from 1 species